rnacentral:rRNA from 1 species
UACAGCAUAGCAUUAAUGCGCUCGAUCUCAUUAGAACUCCGGAGUUAAGCGCGCUCAGGCUAGAUUAGUAUUGGGAUGGGUAAUCGCCCGGGAAGUCCUAGUGUUUUAA